AGCAGUAGCCACGGGAAUACGAAGGGGGCUAGCGUUGUUCGGAAUUACUGGGCGUAAAGCGCACGUAGGCGGAUAUUUAAGUCAGGGGUGAAAUCCCAGAGCUCAACUCUGGAACUGCCUUUGAUACUGGGUAUCUUGAGUAUGGAAGAGGUGAGUGGAAUUCCGAGUGUAGAGGUGAAAUUCGUAGAUAUUCGGAGGAACACCAGUGGCGAAGGCGGCUCACUGGUCCAUUACUGACGCUGAGGUGCGAAAGCGUGGGGAGCAAACAGGAUUAGAUACCCCGGUAGUCCCUGUCUCUUAUAC
rnacentral:rRNA from 1 species